rnacentral:rRNA from 1 species
UACGAAGGGGGCUAGCGUUGUUCGGAAUUACUGGGCGUAAAGCGUGCGCAGGCGGCUUCUCAAGUCAGGGGUGAAAGCCCAGAGCUUAACUCUGGAAUUGCCUUUGAGACUGAGAGGCUUGAGUACGGGAGAGGUGAGUGGAAUUCCCAGUGUAGCGGUGAAAUGCGUAGAUAUUGGGAGGAACACCAGUGGCGAAGGCGGCUCACUGGACCGGAACUGACGCUGAGGCGCGAAAGCGUGGGGAGCAAACGGG